rnacentral:rRNA from 1 species
UACAGAGGUCUCGAGCGUUAGGCGGAAUCACUGGGCUUAAAGCGUGUGUAGGCGGAUUGGUAAGUACCUUGUGAAAUCCCACAGCUUAACUGUGGAACUGCUCGGUAUACUGCUGAUCUUGAGCCACUCAGGGGCUACCGGAACAAAUGGUGGAGCGGUGAAAUGCGUAGAUAUCAUUUGGAACGCCAAUGGUGAAAACAGGUAGCUGGGGGUGUGCUGACGCUGAGACACGAAAGCCAGGGGAGCAAACGGG